rnacentral:rRNA from 1 species
UACGUAGGGGGCUAGCGUUGUUCGGAAUCACUGGGCGUAAAGGGAGAGUAGGCGGGAGAAUAAGUUAGGAGUUUAAUGUGUCGGCUUAACCGGCAACCUGCUUCUAAUACUGUUCUUCUUGAGUAUUGGAGAGGGAGAUGGAAUUCCAGGUGUAGCGGUGGAAUGCGUAGAUAUCUGGAAGAACACCAGCUGCGAAGGCGGUCUCCUGGCCAAAUACUGACGCUGAUGCUCGAAAGCUAGGGGAG